CAGCAGCCGCGGUAACACGUAGGGUGCAAGCGUUAUCCGGAAUUAUUGGGCGUAAAGAGCUCGUAGGCGGUUUGUCGCGUCUGCUGUGAAAACUGGAGGCUCAACCUCCAGCCUGCAGUGGGUACGGGCAGACUAGAGUGCGGUAGGGGAGAUUGGAAUUCCUGGUGUAGCGGUGGAAUGCGGAGAUAUCAGGAGGAACACCGAUGGCGAAGGCAGAUCUCUGGGUCGUAACUGACGCUGAGGAGCGAAAGCGUGGGGAGCGAACAGGAUUAGAUACCCGAGUAGUCCCUGUCUCUUAUAA
rnacentral:rRNA from 1 species